rnacentral:ncRNA from 1 species
AAUAAUUAGCGGGGAAAGAAGACCCUUUUGAGCUUGACUCUAAUCUGGCAGUGUAAGGAGACAUAAGAGGUGUAGAAUAAGUGGGAGAUAUUAGACCUCGGUUUGGUAUCGUCAAUGAAAUACCACUAAUCUUAUUGUUUCCUUACUUACUUGAUUAAAUGGAACGUGUAUAAUUUCCUAGCCAUUAUACGGAUAUAUUUAUUAUAUCUUAUGGUAUUGGGUUUUGAUGCAAGCUUCUUGAUCAAAGUAUCACGAGUUUGUUAUAUUAUAUAUCGCAAACAAAUUCUUUAAUAAAAGGAUGCAUUUAUGUAUUUUUGAUUUGAAAAUUUGGUAUAACUCCAAUUACUCAGGUAUGAUCCAAUUCAAGGACAUUGCCAGGUAGGGAGUUUGACUGGGGCGGUAAAUCUCUCAAAUAAUAACGGAGGUGUCCCAAGGCCAGCUCAGUGCGGACAGAAACCACACAUAGAGCAAACGGGCAAAUGCUGACUUGAUCUCGGUGUUCAGUACACACAGGGACAGCAAAAGCUCGGCCUAUCGAUCCUUUUGGUUUAAAGAGUUUUUAACAAGAGGUGUCAGAAAAGUUACCAUAGGGAUAACUGGCUUGUGGCGGCCAAGCGUUCAUAGCGACGUCGCUUUUUGAUCCUUCGAUGUCGGCUCUUCCUAUCCAUGUGGAGCAAAAUUCACCAAGCGUUGGAUGUUCACCCAGGGAACGUGAGCUAGGUUUAGACCGUCGUGAGACAGAUUAGUUUUACCCUACUAAUGACAAAACCUUGUUGCGACAGUAUUCCUGCGUAGUACGAGAGGAACCGCAGGUACGGACCAAUGGCACAAUACUUGUUCGAGCGAACAGUGGUAUGACGCUACGUCCGUUGGAUUAUGCCUGAACGCCUCUAAGGUCGUAUCCGUGCUGGACUGCAAUGAUAAGUAAGGGGCAAUUUGCAUUGUAUGGCUUCUAAACCAUUUAAAGUUUAUAAUUUACUUUAUAAACGACAAUGGAUGUGAUGCCAAUGUAAUUUGUAACAUAGUAAAUUGAGAGGAUUUUCGAUCACAUGAUGACGCGCUAGUUACAUAUAAAAUCAUUUUUUAAUACAAUGACCAAGCCUAGAAUCAAUUGUAAACGACUUUUGUAACAGGCAAGGUGUUAUAAGUGGUUGAGCAGCUGCCAUACUGCGAUCCACUGAAGCUUAUCCUUUGCUUGAUGAUUC